UUACAGUAUGUAUAUGCUUCAACAUUUAUUUGUUUAUUCGUUAUUUUGAAAAAGAAAAACGUCUAUAACUUUCUGAGCGACUGCAAUAUUAAUGAAGGUCGCGUUAAGUAAGUUACCUACCCCUUUAUUACCUUCCCGUAGGAGUCAGAGUUUCCGAAUAACGAAAGUUUGCAGCAAUUAGUCAUUUAGCUUAAUUUCAAGGGCACUGUUUCUAAGAACAGUCUAGUCUUAUUACGGACAUGCAACUUAAUCACCGCCAGAUUUGAAAGCCCACCCAUCAAAUUAUCGUGAUAGGCUACUGCGAAGACGUUCUUUUGAACGCGUCAGGAAAUACUAUGACAUAAAUAUGCGACUGAACUUGUACUUGAAUGGGCAGGGUAGAUUCGAUUCUCCAAGGAAAAAAAUAGUUUUAUAUAGGCUACACCAUAUUAAAGCACAUGAAAUUGCAUUAAUAUUAUGUAAUUUAAAAAAUGUGUAAAAUCAGUGUAUUAUGUAUUUUAUGAAUCUUUAAAAUCAGUUUAAAAGAAAGAUAAAAUAGUGAUGCCAUUUAAAAUUUUCAGUUAAAUCAACCAACCUCUCCCAUCGUCAACGACAGUGGAAAAAAAAACCUUGGCAAGCACAGCCCAUGCUUUCGUACAAAUGCGACAGAGCCGUUCGCUCGUGUGUGAAAGAACAAACAUUCCCAUUGUGAAAAGCUAUGAGCAGGAGGUGGCUGGCCCGGGAGGAGUGUAUCACUGGAGCACUACUGCCCCCUGCCUACACUGCAGCGGGCAACGAGACGACCGGGCGCGGCCAACUGGGCGCAGAGUGCGGGCGCGGCGCCAGGACCUCGUCUCCGGAGCAGCCAGAGUGGUACGGCGCUGAUAAUAUUUGUGAAUAAGGGAAGAGGAAAAAGAACAGUGAGAGAUGAAAGAAGGGAGAUUUGAAGUUUGUUCUUUAAAGUAUCGGCAAACUCCGUCUGCCCUCUGCGGCCCGUGGGAUCGCAUUCUCUGAUGUCCGACGGCAGAGGACGUUUCUCAUUGGCCCCUGGGAGACUGACGUCUCACAAGAGUCGGUCUCCACCUGGCAGAUGAGGGAACGUCAGGGAUGGGGCCUUGAAGGGCAGGCCGCAACGUUGGCAUGAUGCCCCCCGCUCACCUGCAGGCUGCCGCGACGCUGAGCCUGGCACUGCCCGUGAUCCGUGCUGGGCCUGGCAUAUCUCGCGCACAAGUCAGUGGCCAGUACAGCAUCUGGAACGGGGAGGGGGCCCGUGCUGAGAUUCCCUCUCAGUUAUCCCACUGAGCUGCGUGUGAGCAGCUUACGAUUACAGUAUGCCACAGACCUCGGAGAGGCGUGUUCUCUGUGCGACCUUAGACCUCACCUCAGGCCAAACAGGACUGAACCAGGGUGGGUCUAACACACCGAGACCAGAAGUAACCUGCAGAUGAUGCCAAAUCAUCCAACAUGGCAACCACUCUUGCGCAUAUCUCGGUAUGCUUUUAGUUUUUGUGAAUAUUUUGAAGAAUGCAUUAAGAUUUAGUUAGACAGGAAAAGUAUGCCUGGGGUUGCCACUUUCCUUUUCUGUUUUGUAGUGGGGUUCCCCAACGAAACCCCACACUUCCCUGGCAUCAACUGCUACCUUUCCUCAAAUGCCAAGGAAAUAAAUCAAUUAAUACGAGCCGUUGGCAGAAUAAAGAGCAAGUACUAAUCAUCGUACAUCAUUAGGCAAAGAUUUAGCUUAAAUGUGUUUAGAGGGAAUUAAGCAAAGCUGCUGUUGACAUGGAUUGACUGCUGUAAUGCUUUAUUGUCAGUGCUCUGGGAAGUAGAGGGAGAGUGCCGGUAUAUUGGGGAGAGUGGGACUGGGAGGAGGGGGUUGUGGGACGCUGGAAGACUUGGUGGCUCGGAGGCAGAUUGGGCCUUCCAGUAGGAGUCAGAGCUGAGCUGCCACUGGGAGGGAGGGAGAGAUACUGAGAGGACUUGGAAUAGGAACUAGAAUGAAAAGUAAUGACUGGUACAGUGGUGGUCGUGUAAGCUGGAAGAAGCAGCAUGAGAGGGAGAGAGUGUUUGAGUAGAGAAUCCCAGUCCAGGUAGACAUUUGAGGUAUGGCAGCUUCAAUGUUGAGAGUAUUGAGACAGAUAUCAAAGAAAACAUACUGUCUAAACAGUAGCCUAUAUGGAUAGAGAUGCAAUACUGCACUUGUUGCUUCAGGGUGGAAAUGUUGGUGAAAAUCAUUAGCUGUGCCAAACAAUCAUUUCACUAAAGACAAAAAUUGCAUUCUAGAGGAAGUGCUUCUGUACAAUUGCAGUUUCCUAUGAACAUAUGAUAUGUUUGUGUUAAAGUGGUUUUGGUAGUUAUAUAUUUUUAUCAUUAGCUGGGAAUGUAGUCAAAGUGCAGUGAUAUGGUUGAUAUCCAUUGCAAUACUCAGUUUAUUCCAGGGUAGGAAAAUGCAAGACUGGGAGACAAAAGGCCAGUGCAGUUCAUAAAUAUUGCUCCAAAUGAAACUAAUGGUAAGCAUUUCUGAAUCCUAACAUGUUCACUACAUAUAAGAAGCUGCGGUCAUUUCUGUGUGUAAGUGUAGCUUGAUUGGUGUCUGAUUGGCAAUUUCAGUAACUACCAAACUAUCUGGGUAGCUAAGGAAAUAGCUGAAAUAGCUAGCAACAUUGAGAUAUAUAGUUAUAUACAAGCUAGUUAUUUUUGGUGAGUCAAAAUGUGCGAGUGAGAAUUAUACAUUAUUUUUUAAAUUAUAAUUUAAAAGUUCAUUUUAUAAAUAUAGUACUGAUUCAUCGUUAUAGCCACUGAGACAGUGAUAGAGAGCCAAGCAUGACACUCAUAAAGAAUUCAAUUCUGAACUGCAACGACACCUUGAUUCAUUGAACUGGGUGUUUAAAUGAUGGGCUGAAACAAAAUCCAACACCCACAGAGAACAUUUUAAGAAAAGAUUGGACACCCCAACUUUCAAUUAUAAUAGUCACUUAGUUACAAAAUAACAAAUUAUA